rnacentral:rRNA from 1 species
AGGAGGUCUAGCCUGCCCAGUGACAAAGUUAAACGGCCGCGGUACCCUAACCGUGCAAAGGUAGCGCAAUCACUUGUUCUUUAAAUGAGGGACUAGUAUGAACGGCAUCACGAGGGUUAUGCUGUCUCCCUACUUUAUUCAGUGAAACUGAUCCCCCCGUGAAGAAGCGGGGAUAAAAAUAUAAGACGAGAAGACCCCAUGGAGCUUUAAACUCAGUAUCAACUGCUAUAUUUAAAACCUAAUACACAAGCAAUCUCUGACUACUAGUUUUCGGUUGGGGUGACCACGGAGUAAAACCUAACCUCCACGAUGAAAGGAAGUAACAACCUAAAUUAAGAGCUACAACUCUAAAUAUCAAUAAAUUGACUAAUUGAUCCAAUUAAUUGAUCAACGAACCAAGUUACCCUGGGGAUAACAGCGCAAUCCAUUUCAAGAGCUCCUAUCGACAAAUGGGUUUACGACCUCGAUGUUGGAUCAGGGUAUCCCAGUGGCGCAGCUGCUACUAGAG